rnacentral:rRNA from 1 species
GGCACAAGCGGUGGAGCAUGUGGUUUAAUUCGAUGCAACGCGAAGAACCUUACCAGGCCUGACAUCCUCGGAACUUCCAGAAAUGGAUGGUGCCUUCGGGAACCGAGAGACAGGUGCUGCAUGGCUGUCGUCAGCUCGUGUCGUGAGAUGUUGGGUUAAGUCCCGCAACGAGCGCAACCCUCGUCUCCAGUUGCCAUCAGGUUAAGCUGGGCACUUUGGAGAAACUGCCGGUGACAAGCCGGAGGAAGGUGGGGAUGACGUCAAGUCCUCAUGGCCCUUACGGGCUGGGCUACACACGUGCUACAAUGGCGGUGACAAUGGGAAGCAAUGGCGCGAGCCGGAGCCGAUCCUUAAAAACCGUCUCAGUUCGGAUUGCACUCUGCAACUCGAGUGCAUGAAGGUGGAAUCGCUAGUAAUCGAGGAUCAGCAUGCCUCGGUGAAUACGUUCCCGGGCCUU